GUCCUCUACUGGCUGUACUGGGUAGACCAGAGGAACCAGGCUCUGAGGGGGGACCAGUCCUCUACUGGCUGUACUGGGUAGACCAGAGGAACCAGGCUAUGAGAGGUGGCCAGUCCUCUUCUGGCUGUACUGGGAAGAGAGGAACCAGGCUCUGAGGGGUGACCAGUCCUCUACUGGCUGUACUGGGUAGACCAGAGGAACCAGGCUCUGAGGGGGGACCAGUCCUCUACUGGCUGUACUGGGUAGACCAGAGGAACCAGGCUCUGAGGGGGACCAGUCCUCUACUGGCUGUACUGGGUAGAGAGGAACCAGGCUCUGAGGGGUGGCCAGUCCUCUACUGGCUGUACUGGGUAGACCAGAGGAACCAGGCUCUGAGGGGUGGCCUGUUUGACUCACGUUGGCCACGGUGAAGGAGAAUCCAAAGUUUUGGUAGCGGGCCGUGUCGGUGGCAUUGUAUUGUCCUCAAAGCGAGCAAAGAAGUUGUGUUAAUUUGUCUGGCAGCAAGACGCCGGCUGGCUUUCUUUUUGUAAUCCGUGAUUGACCGUAGACCCUGCCACAUACCUCUUGUGUCUGAGCCAUUGAAAUACGACUCUAAUUUGUCUCUAUAUUGACGCUUAGCACAACCAGGUGGACUGGGGACAGCAAGGAGUCAUCAGGCCAGAUUGUCCUGAGGCAUGGUCCUAGGGCUCAGGUCCUCUGAGAGAAGAGAGAGAGGGAGACCUCACUAAUGCUCUUGUGGCUGAAUGGAGUCCCCACAGCAAUGUUCCAUCAUCUAGUGGAAAGCCUUCCCAGAAUAGUGGACUCCAUAUUCAACUCCAUAUUAAUGCCCAUGAUUUUGUAAUGAGAUGUUCAAUGAGCAGGUGUCCACAUACUUUUGUUCAUAUAGUGUAUAAAUCUCAUGAUUCAAUGAUUAUUUAAUUAUCACUAUCUCACUAUCUUUAUUUAAUUCUUACACCAGAUGAACUCAAAGAAGAACUGAAGGAAGCUAGAGAGAUCCAAUCCCUCUCCACCUCUCCAGGAGGUCAACAGGAAACACAGACUCCUUCCCAAAAGUCUGAGAGGAUUGAAGGGAUUAAGUAUUUUCCAGGGAGGAAGUCUGCUCCUGGUUCAGGGAGGAAGUCAGCUCCUGGUUCAGGGGGGAAGUCUGUUCUGGAGAUGGAGACUUUACUGGCUGCUGGACCACAGAAUGAUGAUCUGGAUGAGAUGGAGAGGGGAGGAAGAGUUACUAUAGACAAUAACUCUAUGCUAUAGGGUUACUAUAGAGGGACUAUAACUCUAUGCUAUAGGGUUACUAUAGAGAGACUAUAACUAUAGAGCUGAGUUACUAUAGAGAGACUAUAACUAUAUGCUAUAGGGUUACUAUAGAGAGACUAUAACUAUAGAGCUGAGUUACUAUAGAGAGACUAUAACUAUAUGCUAUAGGGUUACUAUAGAGAGACUAUAACUAUAUGCUAUAGGGUUACUAUAGAGAGACUAUAACUUUCUAUAGAGACCUGUCCCACCUAACAAAGCUGGGUUAUUAUAGAGAGACUAUAACUAUAGAGCUGAAUGGAAUAAUGGACUAAUGUCUCAUUAUUGUAAUGUAUCAGGUAUAUCAACCAGACCACAGGACUAAUGUCUCCUGGUACAGACUCUCUUAUGUCCAGUACCUGAUCAUCAGGUAUAUCAUCCAGACCACAGGACUAAUGUCUCCUGUUACAGACUCUCUUAUGUCCAGUACCUGAUCAUCAGGUAUAUCAACCAGACCACAGGACUAAUGUCUCCUGUUACAGACUCUCUUAUG